rnacentral:rRNA from 1 species
UAUAUAUCUAAUAAAAAUAAUUUUAAUUUAAUAAAUAUUUUAAUGGGGGUUAAAGUAUUUUUUAAAGAAAAAAUUUUUAAUUUUAUAGUAUAUUAGUAUUGUGGGAGAAUUUUGAAAUAGUUGAAAAUGUAUUUUUAAUAAAGUAGUUUUUAUUUAUCGUAUCUUGUGUAUCAGAGUUUAUUAAAAAUUUUUAAUUUUAUAAUUAAUUUCUCGAAUUUAAAAGAGUUAAAUAAUUAUUAAAGUUAUUGUUGCAAAAAUAUUUUAAAUAAUUAUUUAGAAGUGAAAUGUUAAUCGUUUUUAAAUAUAUCUAGUUUUUAUAGAAAAAAUUUUAAUUUUAAUUUUAAAUUUAAUAUUUAAUUAAUUAGUUAAUUGAAUAAUUAUUUAAAUUUUAUAUUUUGAGGGAUAAGCUUUAAAUUAAAUUUUUAUAAUAAAAAAUAUUUAUUUUUGAGAAUUUUAUAAUUUGUAUUGUUAAUAAAUUUAAUUUUAUUAUAAAUAAUUUCAUUUUAUUAAAAAAUUUAAAUUUUUAUUUAAUUUUUUAUAUAAAAUUUAUUUUUAAUAAUUAAAAAUUAGUUAUAAUGAUAAAAUUAGUAUAUUAUUUAUUGAAAAGAUUAUUUUUAAUAAGAAUUUUUAUUAUUUAAUUUAAUUAAUUAAAAGGAAUUCGGCAAAUAUUUAUUUUCACUUGUUUAUCAAAAACAUGUCUUUUUGUUUAUUUAUUUAAAGUUUAAUCUGCCCACUGAUUUAAUUGAAGGGCUGCAGUAUUUUGACUGUACAAAGGUAGCAUAAUCAUUAGUCUCUUAAUUGGUGACUUGUAUGAAAGAUUGGAUGAGAAAUAUACUGUCUCUUAGUUAAUAUAUAGAAUUUAAUUUUUUAUUUAAAAAGUUAAAAUGAGUUAAAAAGACGAGAAGACCCUAUAGAGUUUAAUAAAUUUUUUUUAUAAUAAAUUUAUUUAUAAUAAAAUUAAAAUGAUUUUAUGAAUUUAUUUAUUUUAUUGGGGUGAUAGGAAAAUAAAUUUAACUUUUUUUAAAAAAUUUAACAAUAAUAUAUGAUUAAAUGAUCCAGUUAUUAUUGAUUAAAAGAUUAAAUUACCUUAGGGAUAACAGCGUAAUUUUUUUUUUUAGUUCGAAUAAUAAGAAAAGUUUGCGACCUCGAUGUUGGAUUAAGAUAAAAUUUAAAUGCAAAAGUUUAAAAUUUUUGAUCUGUUCGAUCAUUAAAAUCUUACAUGAUCUGAGUUCAAACCGGUGUAAGCCAGGUUGGUUUCUAUCUUUUAAAAUAUUAUAUAUUUUAGUACGAAAGGAUCAAAUAUUUUAAUUAAAUUAUAAUAAUAAGUGAAUUUUAUUAAAU